AACGAGAUCGGUGCGAGAUUGAAAAUGGCAGCCCACUGCUAAACUCUAAAAACACAACUUCCUCUCUUUUUUUAUCAAACAAAUCCACAUUUCGAUACACUAAACUUGGAUUUCUCCAACCGAUCGAACUGGAUUACCUCUAGGAUUAUACUAAUGGACGCCUGUGUCCACUUAGUGAUGCGAACGACACCGGAAAAGAGCAGAAAAUAGACAAAAACAUACCCGCACUGACUGCAUGCAGAGACUCCGUCUGCCAGAGCUCCUCCACUGUUCCCCUGAAUAAUCCUGCAGUAUUGAGGUAAGUGACAUCUAGAUUUGAUUCGACAACACUCUAUCCGAACUCGAUAGUCCAACAAUUAAUCGUCAGUCUGAUCAAAUUUAUCAAAGAAAAGUUAAAGAAACAAGGUCCUGAUCCAAAACAACAACAUCUAGAUAUAUCAGAUCUGGACUACAUUAAAAGAGAGAUUAUUUGUUUUCACAUGUUUGUGUUAAUUGUUAAAAUGUAAGAAAGGGCUGGCUUUACCCUUUACACACAGACUUACAGUCAGAUCUGGUCUUAACUAUUCUGAACGGUGUUUGAAAGAGUCCAGAGCUCUUUUGACCUAUUAAAGUUUAUCUGAGAAGUCUAGGUAUUGCAUUAUGAUGCAGUUUAGUUAAAAAAAAAAGUGGUGAAAUCGCCUUUUCUUGCAUUUUUAUAAAUUAAAGUGUUCAAAACUCAGGAACUGUGUUUUAAGACGUCUAUAGAGUCUAACUAAACCAGAUUUAACAAAACUUGAUGACAAAUCCCUCCAUGUCCCCCCACCACUCUUUGAAAGAUAUGGCGGCUAUACAGCAUGGGUGGGCAUUGGGGGGGCCGUGCCCGCCCUGGACUAAAAGCAAAAUUUUCUAUUAAUUUAAUUUGGGGUUGCUGUUCCAUCAGAGUAGUCAUCUUCAUUUAAUCCCAUCUAUCUUGAAAUGUCAAUCAAUCCAACCACUCCAAUCGAUCGAAUGCAACGUGUGAGCCAAUUACAGGUAAAAGGGGGCGGGCCACAACCGUGUUAAAGUUCAAAUAUUCGUAGACGGACUCGGCGCGAAGGUGGACUCACCGGUAAGCAUUGAAAAAAAUGGAUGUAAGAGGUUUUUUUGUUUGUCAAAAAAGGACCACUAACGCUGACAGGAGCAAGCGGGAAGUAGCGGCAGCGCCACACAGCUCCAGUUUUAGGAACUAAAACACCGAAGCCAACUGUCACGCCGGAGUAAACAUCCAUGCUAGCGGAGGGAGCAACAGCAGCUAGGUAGCACCAGGAGCAGUAGCGAGCAGCGAGACCCUCCUGCCUGGAAACGUGGUUGAUGAUGCCUAUGUCGUGAACAACAAUACACUACCACAGCUUUGCCGUAACAUUACAUCUGUGAGGAGCAACAGCAAGGCAGCCAGUGAGGAACACAUGCUGCUUCGUUCUGCUCCAGGUGCCCCCUAGCUGCUGUACCUCCUCCUCUAGCAUGAAUGUUUACUCCGGUGUGACUGUUGGCUCAGUGCUUAGAUUUCUAGAAGUGGAGUUGUGUGGCCCUGCUCUCUGAAUGCCCCUCGCCUCUGUUUUAUUGAUAAUAAAUGAACACAGCACUACAGUCACUACUGUAUUUUGUUUGUUUUAUUUCUAUAUAUUUAAAGAUGAAAUGCCUCUUUCAAUACUGUAGGAGAGGCCACAGAGCUGCUGUUAAGCCUGAAGCAGAUAAAAUACAGGUUUAAAUAAGUGUGCCCCCCUGAAAAAAUGUAAUGCCCCCCUCUCAUUUGUUUCUGCAGCCAGGUCUGCAGCUAUAACAUCCAAUUUAGAGGAAUUUGCAUAUUGUUCUGAUUCCAAACUCUUCCUCUCCUACUCCUGUCUUUGUGUGUCUCAUGCAGAUGUCCAACAGCUAACAGAGAUUAAAGGAGUUUCCAAAGAGUCAGCACAUACUCUUGAGAAGGAGGACCUAAGGAGCCAACAAGUUCUCGACAAAUCAGGAUGUGGAGCCGUUUAAAGGCUGUAUGUUGUUCCCAUUGAUUUGUGUCAGUGUGAAGUGUCAAGGCAAUGAAGAAAAAACUCAAAAAAACUGUCAAGGACAGAGUGGUGAUGCUAACAGCCAGCAUCUCAGCCAAUGAGAAGGAAACAAAGGCCAAUGGAGAGGAUUUUGGGGAAAUGGAAUCAAGGGAGAGUUUGGAUCCAGACAGCCAUCUACAACCUGAUACAGACAACAUGUUUGGCAAAACUUGUGAAACUGAAGACUGGCAGAAACCUCUGUCAGAUUCUGAACAUGAAGCUGAAGACAUGGACAACAGUUGGAGUGAGACAGAGGCAUCUAAUCCAGUUGAUGAAAAUAAUACAAGAUCAAAUGAUGGUGAGAAUUCCCAUUGCUUCCCUCAGAUCGUUACAGGGCUUGACCAAAAGUCCCCUAAAAGCCAAAAGAGCCCAAGGAGAGUCUCGAUAAUAAAAGCAUUCCCUUGUAAAAUUUGUGGGAGGAGCUUUUCACAACAGAAAAAUGCUGAGAAACACUUGAAGACCCAUACAAAAGAAAAACCCUUCAGUUGUGAUAUAUGUGGAAAGACAUUUCGAAGAAAAGAUAAUGCUGAACUACAUUUAGCAGUUCAUGCAGAGGAGAAACCCUUUAUUUGCGAUGUGUGUGGAAAGACAUUUGCUUUUCAACAAAAUGUGAAGCAACACAUGAGAGUCCAUACAGGGGAGAAACCCUUCAGUUGUGAUGUUUGUGGAAAAACUUUUAUCCAGAAGAUACAUGCUGUCAGACACAUGACAGUGCACACAGGAGAGAAACUCUACAGUUGUGAGGUUUGCGGGAAGACAUUCACUCAACAACGAAAUGUUAAGAAACACAUGUCAGUCCAUACAGGGGAGAAACCGUUCAGCUGUACUGUGUGUGGGAAGAGCUUUAAUCAGCGAAACCAGGUUCAGAAACACAUGAGAGUCCAUACAGGGGAGAAACCCUAUGGUUGUGAUAUUUGUGGAAAAAGAUUUAACCAGCGGCAACAUGUUCAGAAACACAUGACAGUCCAUACGGGAGAGAAACCCUUCAGUUGUGAUGUUUGUGGGAGGGCCUAUAAACAUCGGCAGCACGCCAGAGACCACAUGAAAUCCCAUUCAGGAGAGAGACCCUAUAGCUGUAAACUUUGUGGGAAGUCAUUCACUCACCAUCAAGGAAUUACAGUACACAUGAGAUCCCAUACUGGUGAGAAACCCUAUAGAUGUGGUGUGUGCGGGAAGGGUUUUACACAACAACAACAUGUUAAGAAACACAUGACCGUCCACACAGGGGAGAAACCGUUCAGUUGUGAUGUUUGCGGGAAGAGUUUUAGUCAGCAACAACAUGUUAAGAAACACAUGACAGUCCAUACAGAGGAGAAACCAUUCAGUUGUAGUUUUUGCGAGAAGACUUUUAAACAUCAACAACAUGUUAGGAGGCACAUGACAGUCCAUCUUGAACUCAUGAGGAACACUAGAGUUUUGGCACCAAAAGCAAUUUGUAGGAAGGAUGAAGUGUCUGGAACAAUAUGAGAAUCCAGAUAGGAUAAUCCCUGUACUUGAACUUAUAACAUGGAAACAUUUUCAUAAGAAUUAAGUGUUCAGAAACACAAGAAUCCACAUGAAAAGAGAAACUAACUAUACAUUUUGUUAUGGUAACUUAUCAGUUAAUAUGACUCAUAUGUAUAUUUGGAGCAUUUACUGUGACUAUAGGUCAAUACUGCGAGUCAGCUUAGCAGAGCUCAUAGUGUCCUGUCACCCUUUUAGACCAGUUUACUCCUCUUCUGGCAUGUCCAUGAGUAACACAGAAGAUAAAGACUUCAUCUAUCAGGCCUCUCUCCUGUCAUCUCAGCCACUGCAUCAAGCACUAGUGUCUGGUUGUGCUGACGCUGACUGAUUGGUAAAGAGAACUUUGUCCCUGCUACUGUUAUCAAAAGUCCGCUGUGUUGGACUUAUACUGGGUACCUCCAAAUAACUAAGAGUGCAGUUUGCAGCUGUUAUUGAUAUGAAGUGUCACUUGCAGUGAUGUUGCUAGCUACAUGUCCUGCUUCUUUUACACAUAUAAUUUUGAAAUGACUCUUUAAAUUUGACACCCACCUUGUCUUUCCCAGUCAGAAUGAUACACUAUGAACCAUCAGCGGAGCAGGACUGCUACUAUUAAUGUUGUCAAUGGAGGUGCACCUCAGUGUCACCCCUGGCAGUCUUUAGUUUCAGUGAAUAGGCUGGACAGUUUCCUUCUUAUUUAAAAUCAUCUUCAGCAUGUUGUUAUUGUUUCAGAAUUACCAGUUACAAAAUUGGCUAUGAAGGACACAUUUUAUAGGUGACAAUGGUAUUUUUUCCACAGAUUCUCUGGCAUUCUUCAUCCAUAUUCAUAUCUAAAUUGGCUUUAAAAUUAGCACAUAUAACUGCAUGGCAUUUAUCUUAUGCUCAGAUGACCUCUGUACAUUUCUCUUUUCUAGUGGGUUCCCUUGUAAACACUUAUAACAUUUUAAAACUGCCAAAAAAAGAGAGACAUUUCUGUAUCAUAAAGGUGAAUUAUCCUUGUAAAUUGUCACACCUUUUAAACACAUAAUCACGCACUUCUUCAGAAGUAACUUAAAUUUUCAACACAAUUGUUGAAAAGUUUUCAAAAGGACACACUAAAAUCACUACCUGUGGGUUUCCAAGACUUCCUUAAAAGCUAUCAACAUCACUGUACUGAAGAAUUUUUUAAGGACAGGGAGCUGCUUAUUCAUGAUGCACCAUUCUGAAAUUUUAACUUCCUGCUCAUGUUAGUAUUUGUGUACGGCUCUGCAAUUUUAAAAACCCAAAUUUGUGUGAAAAAAAAACCGAUUUCUGUUUCUCAUGUUUUCCAUAAUAAAGCGCAAAAAACGAUUAUGAAUGCAAUGUUUCAAGUAUAUUCAAUAAUUGUUUGCUUCUUGAUAUGGUGUUUUUAGACUGAAACAUGUUAUGUGAUUCGUUGAAGUAAGGUUGCAACGCUAUGAUGUAUUCAGUGAACAAAAACUGCUUCUUGUUGAAAAAUGAACUGGCUUGUCAGUCUGUAUUUUUUCUUCAUUUAUGAAUGAAAGUUUCCUUUUUGUGGUUUCUUUUGGUCUUCAUGUUUUCUAAUAAAAGUCAGUGUUCAGGAUAAUA
rnacentral:lncRNA from 1 species